rnacentral:rRNA from 1 species
UACGGAGGGUGCAAGCGUUAAUCGGAAUUACUGGGCGUAAAGCGCGCGUAGGCGGCUGGAUAAGUCGAUUGUGAAAGCCCCGGGCUCAACCUGGGAAUUGCAGUCGAGACUGUUCGGCUAGAGUGUGGGAGAGGGUGGUGGAAUUCCCGGUGUAGCGGUGAAAUGCGUAGAUAUCGAGAGGAACACCGGUGGCGAAGGCGGCUAUCUGGACAGUGACUGACGCUGAGACGCGAAAGCGUGGGGAGCAAACAGG